GCCAACACUGGAUUGUCUUCAGAAGACUCAGAAGUGAAGUGUUUCAACAAAAAGAAUGUCCGUAACUUUGUAACAGAAGCAGAAGGACUGAACACGGGAUGGAGGAUGGUUAUAAGGUUAACAAGGAGGUUUGUGCUCAUUGUAGACACUAGACUUCCAGACUGACAGCUGCUCCAUCUGGAAACAUGCUUCUAUCAUCACAGCAGGGGGAAGAGCAUGGGGAGAAUCAUUCCUGUAUUUUCAGGCUUUUGUUUAAAAGUGACACAUGUCACUUCCACUCACAUUUUGUAGACCAAAAAUUACCAGGAAGACUGACUGUGGAUGAGGACAUAGUGCCCUUCACUAGAGACAGACAUCAUGAGACCACAUGUCAAGCCUACAUCCUCACUCCCCACCACCUCACUGCCCUUUGCCCCACUCUUGAAAACCUUAAAAGACAGAAUCCCCAGCCUUUCAGGGCACCUCCUCUCCGAGACUGCCCACACUGCCCUUUAAGUGCAUUCU